rnacentral:rRNA from 1 species
GACGAACGCUGGCGGCGUGCCUAAUACAUGCAAGUCGAACGCAGUGGGGACGGGUGAGUCACACGUGGGUAACCUCCCCUCAGAGGGGAUAACACUUGGAAAAAGGUGCUAAACCGAUCCUGAUGGAUUGACCCGCGGUGCAUUAGCUAGUUGGUGAGGUAACGGCUCACCAAGGACACGAUGCAUAGACGACCUGAGAGGGUGUUAUGACACACUGGGACGGAGAAACGGCCAAGACUCGUAAGGGAGGAAGCAGUAGGGAAUCGUCGGGAAUGGACGAAAGUCGGACCGAGCAACGACGCGUGAGUGAAGAAGGUUUGCGGAUCGUAAGACUCUGUUGUUAGAGAAGCGGUAUCUAACCAGAAAGCCACGGCGAACUACGUGCCAGCCGCGGCGGUAAUAG